rnacentral:lncRNA from 1 species
AAAAAAAUGAAUUAUUAUAAAUUCAGACCAAUAUGACAUGAAGUGAAAAAAUAAUGUAUAUCAUAUGAAUACUUAUAUAAUUAUAUCAUCCCACUAAACAAAGUGGAGACAGUCCAAGAAAAAAAAAUGUUCAACCACUACAAAAAAAAAGAGAAGAAUUAAAUUAAAUCACUUAAGUUGUAGCACAAAACUAUAUGAUAGUAAUUAAAUCACUUAAUACAAAUGAGACAAAUAUAUAUGAUUUAGCAUCAACUAUAUAUCUAUAUAUAUAAAGUUAACUUUUUCUCUCUUCUGCUUAA